rnacentral:lncRNA from 1 species
CAGCUUACCUCUGCGCUUCCUGGUCUUCUUUAAUUAUUGCCACCAUAUAAAAGCUUGUUCUGUCAACUUCAGGAUGACAAGCUUCACCUUCUUAUCAUCAGACAUCUUUUUGUAUUCGAAGAUGCACUCGAUUUGAUCCAGCCAAUUAAGAAAUACCUCUAUUUGUAGACUAUUCGAAUGUUCAAACAGAUCUACUCUGAUGGUAUCAUACCAGUAGGUUGAUCGCUCAAACGAAUCACCUUGACCUUUAUACUAUUAGGAAUCGUCAUU